rnacentral:rRNA from 1 species
GAUGAACGCUGGCGGUAUGCUUAACACAUGCAAGUCGAACGGAAUCUUUAGGGAUUCAGUGGCGGACGGGUGAGUAACGCGUGAUAAUCUGGCUUCAGGUCUGGGACAACAGUUGGAAACGACUGCUAAUACCGGAUGUGCCGAGAGGUGAAAGGCUUGCUGCCUGAAGAUGAGCUCGCGUCUGAUUAGCUAGUUGGGAGUGUAAGAGACUACCAAGGCGACGAUCAGUAGCUGGUCUGAGAGGAUGAUCAGCCACACUGGGACUGAGACACGGCCCAGACUCCUACGGGAGGCAGCAGUGGGGAAUUUUCCGC